rnacentral:rRNA from 1 species
UGGGGAAUAUUGCACAAUGGGCGAAAGCCUGAUGCAGCGACGCCGCGUGCGGGAUGAAGGCCUUCGGGUUGUAAACCGCUUUUGAUUGGGAGCAAGCGAGAGUGAGUGUACCUUUCGAAUAAGCACCGGCUAACUACGUGCCAGCAGCCGCGGUAAUACGUAGGGUGCAAGCGUUAUCCGGAAUUAUUGGGCGUAAAGAGCUCGUAGGCGGUUUGUCGCGUCUGGUGUGAAAGUCCAUCGCUUAACGGUGGAUCUGCGCCGGGUACGGGCAGGCUAGAGUGCGACAGGGGAGACUGGAAUUCCCGGUGUAACGGUGGAAUGUGUAGAUAUCGGGAAGAACACCAAUGGCGAAGGCAGGUCUCUGGGUCGUCACUGACGCUGAGGAGCGAAAGCGUGGGGAGCGAACAGGAUUAGAUACCCUGGUAGUCCACGCCGUAAACGGUGGAUGCUGGAUGUGGGGCCCAUUCCACGGGUUCCGUGUCGGAGCUAACGCGUUAAG